rnacentral:tRNA from 1 species
GAAGUAGCUCAGUGGUACAGCAAUCGGCUGUUAACCGAUCGGUCGUAGGUUCGAGUCCUACCUUC